UGCAAGUCGAGGGGUAACGGAAGUAGCUUGCUACUAGACGACGACCGGCACACGGGUGAGUAACGCGUAUGUAAUCUGCCUUGUACAGAGGGAUAGCCCAGAGAAAUUUGGAUUAAUACCUCAUAGUAUUACCGAAUCGCAUGAUUUGGUAAUUAAAGCUCCGGCGGUACAAGAUGAACAUGCGUGACAUUAGCUAGUUGGUAAGGUAACGGCUUACCAAGGCUACGAUGUCUAGGGGUUCUGAGAGGAUGAUCCCCCACACUGGUACUGAGACACGGACCAGACUCCUACGGGAGGCAGCAGUGAGGAAUAUUGGUCAAUGGACGCAAGUCUGAACCAGCCAUCCCGCGUGAAGGAUGACUGCCCUAUGGGUUGUAAACUUCUUUUAUAUGCAAAUAAACCUACUUUCGUGAAAGUA
rnacentral:rRNA from 1 species